rnacentral:tRNA from 1 species
GAGGGUAUAGCUCAGUGGUAGAGCGUGUGCCUAGCAUAGACGAGAUCCUGGGUUCAAUCCCCAGCACCUCCA